rnacentral:hammerhead_ribozyme from 1 species
CUACUGCUGAAGAGUCCCAAACUAGGGCGAAACAGCUGUCCAGUAC